rnacentral:rRNA from 1 species
GAUGAACGCUGGCGGCGUGCUUAACACAUGCAAGUCAAGGGGCCCAGCAAUGGGCAACCGGCGAACGGGUGCGUAACACGUGAGCAACCUACCGAACUGUGGGGGAUAGCCGGCCCAACGGCCGGGUAAUACCGCAUACGCUCGAGACGAGGCAUUUCGACUCGAGGAAAUCUACGGAGCAAUUCGAGGGGCUCGCGGCCUAUCAGCUAGUUGGUGAGGUAACGGCUCACCAAGGCGACGACGGGUAGCUGGUCUGAGAGGAUGGCCAGCCACAUUGGGACUGAGAUACGGCCCAGACUCCUACGGGAGGCAGCAGUGGGAAUCUUGCGCAAUGGCCUAACGGCUGACGCAGCGACGCCGCGUGAGGGAUGACGCUCUUCGGAGUGUAAACCUCUUUUGCCCGGGGACGAACUGCCCAGGAUUUCUCUGGCUUGACGGUACCGGGUGAAUAAGCAUCGGCUAACUCCGUGCCAGCAGCCGCGGUAAUACGGGGGGCUGCGAGCGUUGU